AACGAACGCUGGCGGCAGGCCUAACACAUGCAAGUCGAACGGGUCCUUCGGGACUAGUGGCGGACGGGUGAGUAACGCGUGGGAACGUGCCCUUUGGUUCGGAAUAGCCCUGGGAAACUGGGAGUAAUACCGGAUGAGCCCUACGGGGGAAAGAUUUAUCGCCAAAGGAUCGGCCCGCGUUGGAUUAGGUAGUUGGUGGGGUAAUGGCCUACCAAGCCGACGAUCCAUAGCUGGUUUGAGAGGAUGAUCAGCCACACUGGGACUGAGACACGGCCCAGACUCCUACGGGAGGCAGCAGUGGGGGAUCUUAGACAAUGGGGGAAACCCUGAUCUAGCCAUGCCGCGUGAUCGAUGAAGGCCUUAGGGUUGUAAAGAUCUUUCAGUGGGGAAGAUAAUGACGGUACCCACAGAAGAAGCCCCGGCUAACUCCGUGCCAGCCGCCGCAGUAA
rnacentral:rRNA from 1 species